UUCCUAUAUUACUUUCCAAGAUACUUCUCAGCAGAAUCUACCUUCCGAAUCGGUGUUUAAGUAAAACAAUAUAACAACAAUAUAUUUGUUUAAGUACAACAAAAAAUUAAAACAUGCUUUAUGCAUUCAUAA